rnacentral:lncRNA from 10 species
GGUAAUAACUUCCUGCAGAAUGAGAACCUAAAUCUAAAUUAUUUGUCUGCAUUGAUGCAAAACAUGAGCAAUCAACUGGGGAUCUGAGCCAACAUGUUUCUGAGAUUGAGGCCUAACCCACCUCCACAAAUCCAUCCCUCACAGGGAGAAAUUGAGACAGUUUGCUGCUAAUGGCCUCAAGUAAAUGGGGGAGAAAGUUGCUGAAGUGUCUCAAAUGCAAAUGAGAAAAGCAGUACGAAUCUGUCAUUGUCCAUAUUUAUACAGUUCACAUUAUAAGUAUUUGAAUUAAAGAAGCCAUUUACAUUUAAAUUUUCAAAGGCUGUGGAAAGAAAACAUUAUUUAUUCUACUUUUAGAAGACCUUGCCACCAUAUAGUUACCUUCUAAUUAUCUACUAUGAAUGUGAACUGUUUCCAUAACUGUGGUAUGAAACAAAACCAGCACAACUAUUUUAGCAAAUAUCAUAGAGGUAAAAUUAACAUUUGAAAAUAUGAGCUUGCAUUCAAAAUUCAAACUCCCUUAAAAAAGGCAGCACACAUUUCCCUCAUUUCAGCUAUGCUGGAAUGAAGCAAAUAUUAUCAGCCAAACAAAUUACCAACUCUACUGUGAUUAGGAAAACCCAGUAUUAAGGAUGUAAGAAGAUACAGAUUGCUUCCAAUUCUGGGAAGAUGUCAUAGGCAUACUUUUCUCUAUUGCUCCCAUAAAUACCAGCACAUAACAUAGCAGAUAUAAUACAACCAUGAAAGAUAAAGAGAUGAGGCAGGCUGGGUAGAGACAUCAGGACACAAGGAGUGACAUGGUGGUACAUUCCUUGGCUUUCCUUAUAUAUCUAAGAUUGGAACUCAAGCCAGCAACUCAAACACUAAUGGACACAGUUUUUGGUUUUUUUGUUUUUAAGUCCUAACAAAAGCUGCUCUCUCUAGUCAAGGAGAGGAAGAGAGGAAGCCUAGUCAUGCAGUAAAUGUUUAGACUGUAAACUGCUCUACUCCAAAUACCACUGUAAAAACUGUUGCCAUCACCCCCACCCAUGCCUGCAAAGAUCUAAUGGAGGAGGUCUCAACUUCCAGAGAGUAAUGAACUGGCUACUUCUUCCCCUUCCUGUGGAUGGUGUCAGAAAAGACUGAGUAGGGAGCUGAGACUUUCAUUUUCACUGAGCAGUAACAAGAUCUCCAUUACACUCAAGGAAUCUCAGCAAAGACCAUGGUGGGAGCAGGGACAUAGGCUCCAGCCAGCAGUAAUAAGACACCCCUUUUUCUCUCUGCCAGGGGGAUACCAGAGGACAACUAGAAGAAAGGCAGAAUUCUCAUCAAUCCCAGGAGUAACAAGACCACCCUCACCACUGUGUCUGUGGAAACCACUUGGGCGUAAUAAUGAAGCCUUUCUGUCCCUCCCAGCCAGGACACUAUCAACAGAAGCCUAGAGAGGAGUCAGAAUUUCUACCCUCAUCUAUUACUGGGAUAUUUUGGUGGUCCAGGCUGGGUGGAUAAUGGGCUCAACUGAAACCCAGUGGGGACCUGAAUUUUACCUUUUCCUAACAGUAAUGAGUUGGUGCCCUACCCCUGCCACUAUUACAGCAGUGUCAGAGAAAAUCAGCUAGAAACAUAAGUUUUUACGUAAGAUCUAGAAUCUUGUAAAAUAAUAAAUAGUAUGGGUUUAAAUUGAUAUCACUCAUUAUACCAAGAACCAGGAAGACCUCAAACUGAAUGAAAAAAAAUAAUAAAUUCUAUGAUCAAGAUGACAGAGAUAUUAUAAUUAUCUGAGAUUUUAAAGCAGCCAUCAUAAAAGUGCUUCAAUGAGCAUUUACAAACAUACUUGAAUCAAAAGAAAAAAUAAAGUUUUAGCAAAGAAAUAAAGGCUUGACAAAUAGAGAAGAUAUAAAGAAGAAAAAAAGGAAUUCGAGAAUCAAAAAAUGUAGCAACCAAAAUAAAAAUUAAAACCAAAAACCCUCAAUUAUAGAUGCCUAUGCAAAUUGAAAGAGACAGAGGAAAGAAUCAGUGAACUGGAAGACAGAAAGAAUAAAUUACCCAGUCUGAACAAUAGAGAAAAAAAGACAAAAAUUGAACAGAGCCUUAUAGCUCUGUGGGGCUAUAAUAAAAAAUGUAACAUUUUGUGUCAUAAUAAUCCUGGGAGGAGAGAAGAAUGAGGGAAGACUGAAAAAAGUACUCAAGGAAACAGUGCCUAAUAAGUUAUCAAAUUUGGCAAAAGGCAUAAAUUUACAAAUUCAGGAACCUAAGUGAACUCCAAAUGCAAUAGAGCCAAGAAAAUAUGCCAAGAUACAUCAUAGUCAAGUAUCUGGAAACUAAAGACAAAGAAAAUACCAUGAAAUCACUGAGAGAAAUAUCAUCAUACUUAUGAAAGAAAAAAAAUACACCUGACAAAGAAUUCCUCUUCAGAAACUUGGAUGCCAGAAAAAAGUGGGACAGCAUUUUCAACUGUUGAAAAGUGAGGAACUGCAACCCCAAAUCCUAUAUCCAGUGAAAAUGUCCUUCAGAAAUUAAAGAGUGAUCUGUUUAAGCAGAUUUUUAAUGUGUUUUAAAAUCUUCCUCAGAUAAUUCUAACAUCUUUUUCAUAUUGGUGGUGGAAUUUUCUUUUCUCAUUCAGACAUUUUCAGAUACAGAAAACCUAAGAAAAUCUGUCAUCAGUAGAAGACCUACCCUAAGAGUAGCUUAGGAUUACAUGAUAAGAGAAAUUUUAAAUUGGGCCUAAAAACAAAAGCAAGAUUUAAGUUUCAAAUAUUAUAGACUUCUUUUUUGAGAAUAUUGGAACAACAACAACAACAAAAUGAUAGCCUCUUAUCAGAGACUCAAACACCUUCCAACUCACUAUUCAACAUUCUCUGGGCAUGGGUUUGUUAUUCUCAACCCAAUACGAUUGGUAGUGCUAGCUCUGGUUGUCACAUGCAAGUUUCAGGCAACUAUACAGAGAAAGGGUGUAGAUAGGCACACCUUGGAAGAAUUAUACAUUUCUACUUCCGUAUCACUGAGCUGAUAUGACCACACUUAGCUGCAAGACAGGCUGGCUACUAUGGUCUGGGUUAGCAGCAAUGUGUUUAGCUACAGUUAUCUUUUAAGGAAUAAAAGAAGAAUAAAAAUUUGGAAAGAGUAUUUUUUGCCAUAAUUCUUACUCAAGCAUAGAUGGUUUCACCUUCUAUUUAUAGGUAAAAUUUAAAAAUGUAGCACAUAGAAAUAAAUAGCAUAUUCUUCUGAAUAAUUAUAUUACCUUUAGAAAGAUGCAAUGUUGUGUCAAGAUGUCAAUUGAGAUUGCUAAUUAAUUAUAGUCGUGUAACCAGGUGAAAACAAAAGAUUAGAAUUGAAAUGUGUAAAAUAUUGGUAUUAUACCAUUAUAGAUGACAUGUAAUUUUUAAGAUGUGCUAGAUAUUGUCUACUGACACUUGGAAUCCAUAUUCUACUGUCUUCUAUGUGCUUUGUUGUGUUGUAGAGAUUAGAAUGCUUAAAGCAUAAGGCUAGAUUUAUCAGACUUCCUUAUAAUUAAGGUUCUGGGUACAAGUUUCAUUGAUCCAAUUAGAUAUUGCUCACAAUAGGUUGGAAAGCAGAAGUGAGGUGAACAUAUCUUCCUGCAUUUGUAAAAAAAUUUCGUUAUAUAUAUUUGAUGUAUAAAGCAUGAUUUUUUAAUGUACAUAUAUAUGAGAAAUGACUACUAAAAUCAAGCUAAUUAACAUCCAUUUAUUCACAUAAUUCCCUUUUUUAUUAUUUUGUGGUAAGGGCAC